GAUGAACGCUGGCGGCGUGCUUAACACAUGCAAGUCGAACGAUGAUGCCCAGCUUGCUGGGUGGAUUAGUGGCGAACGGGUACGUAACACUUGAGUAACCUUCCCUUAACCCUUGGUUAAGCCUGGCAAACUGGGUCUACUACUGGUAACGAGUGUCCACUGCACGGCGGGUGUUGGCAGGAUUGAUCGGUUUUGGAUGGACACGCGGCCUGUCAGCUUGUUGCUGAGGUAAUGGCUCACCAAGGCGACGACGGGUAGCCGGCCUGGGAGGGUGACCGGCCACACUGGGACUGGGACACGGCCGAGAGUCCUACGGGAGGCAGAAGUGGGGAAUAUGGAAGAAUGGGCGAAAGACGGAUGCAGCGACGCCGCGGGAGGGGUGACGGCAUUCGGGUUGGAAACCGCUUUCAGUAGGGAAGGAGCGAAAGUGACGGUAGCUGGUGAAGAAGCACCGGCUAACUACGUG
rnacentral:rRNA from 1 species